AAUGGCUUCCGGGCCCCUCUCUGUCGCUCGCGGCCGCCCCACCUCCACCGUCGGUUCUGUACCUCUUGCCGCGUCUUGGCCACAGGGGCCUACGUGGCCGUACGCUGUUGGUGCCUCGUCCGUCCCGUCCUCUGAUCCCUGGGGCUGCACCCUGGUUCUUCCUGAUUUCUGUUUAAGAAUCCUGAUGUGGCAGCUCUUACCAGUGUAGGGUAAGGGAGUUAGAGGCAGCCAGGUUCGGGAAAAGAAGGACACUGGCACUUUAUGGAACAGAUUCACCUUUACUGAGGCAAGAAGGGGCAGCAGUCAGAUUAGUGAGCUGCUGCACUAACCCAGGAAAAGAGGGGUUUCAUCCAGAAGCGGAGAAGAAAUAGCCCUGAGAUUAAAAAAUUAAGAACCAGCCAGAUGAAGAGACUUCGUUGUUGGCCACAUAAUAGGGUGCACCCUAGUGGCUCAACUGAAGAUCUCCCUGAGGAGCAGCUUGAGGAGCGAUCCAUUUCAACGUUGGAGGAAGAGGCUCUGCCCUACUCCAUAGCGCAUGAACAAGCCAGUGAACACGCUCCCCAGGAGGACAUGGCGGUGGAACUGUCCCAGGACCAGGCUGCGGAAGAGCCUCUGGACACUGUGAACGAAUCUGGGGAAGCCAAUGAACAUGCUCCCCAGGAGCACCUGGUGUUGGAACCGCCCCAGGCCGGGGCUGAGGAACCCCUCUGCAUCCCCCUGGAGGCAGCCAGGGCAGCCAGUGAACACGGUUUCACUGAGGACCUGCCAGUCAACCCAACUUGUGACAGCACCGAAGAGACUCCAUGUGUCUCCAAGGAAAGUUGGUUUUUUUUUUUCCUGGUCUAAGAUAGAAAUAUUGUUUCCUUUCUUUUUCAGUAGAAUUAAGUUAUGAGUCUUUGAAGGUGUUCGCUUCAGAUAGAGACAAUUCCCUUGGUUGGGAUAAUGUGGAGUGAGACACUUAUUACCAAAUCAUGACGCCUCAGUCCACAGGAUAUUAAAAUUGUUAGCAUCCAUUACACCCUGUCGAGUACAGAUUUCUCUCUCCUGCAGCAAGAUUUCCUCUAAGAAAAGAAUUCUGCAAUUUCCAACCCAAAGGAUCUUGGAAGCUCCAUCCUCCAGGCAAAGGCCUUGCCUUUCAUCCUGAGUGGCCCUUUCAGAAUGUGAAAGCGCCUCUCCACAUGACUGCUGCCCUCAGACACCAGAUGAGUACAUGGCGGAUAAUGAAGAUUCAGAGACAGUGAGCAAGAAUACUGAGAUGUCAGACAAUUCUCUAAUCAUCGCUUUGGAGAAUGGCAAAAAUGUCAUCAGUGAUGAUGAAAAAGACCAGGAGGAGCAAGUGUGAACGUGGGGCCUGAGUUGAAAAGGCUCUGAUCUGAAUCCCUGAAGACCUGGACCUGGACCCCAUCCCGGACCCCAGAAGCGGUGGAGCCCACACAGCACCAGGAGCCUCAUCUGGACCAGAUCAGGGGAGGCCUCACUGCUGCUCUCCUGAGGGCCUCGUGUAGCACAGCUUCAGUUGUUUUGUCGUGUAGAUUUAGUGUUAGUUUAAUCCACAGUUUUAUCUACAAGUUCUGUAUGUAUCUGUAUGUUCAAUGUUUAUAGGUAAGGUUUUUCAUUAAAUUUUUAAAA
ensembl:lncRNA